rnacentral:rRNA from 1 species
UACGUAGGAGGCGAGCGUUGUCCGGAUUGACUGGGCGUAAAGCGCACGCAGGCGGACGCGCGCGUGGGGUGUGAAAUCUGGCCGCUUAACGGCCAGGCGCCAUCCCAUACGGCGCGUCUGGAGUGAUGCAGAGGUCGAUGGAAUUGCCGGUGUAGUGGUGAAAUGCGUAGAGAUCGGCAGGAACACCCAGGGGGAAACCAGUCGACUGGGCAUCUACUGACGCUGAGGUGCGAGAGCGUGGGGAGCGAACCGG